rnacentral:tRNA from 1 species
UGGGGGAUCGUCUAACGGCAGGACUACGGACUCUGACUCCGUAUAUCUAGGUUCGAAUCCUAGUCCCCCAACCA